rnacentral:rRNA from 1 species
GCGAAAACUUUACAAUGCUGGCAACAGCGAUAAGGGAACCUCGAGUGCCAGGUUACAAAUCUGGCUGUCGAGAUGCCUAAAAAGCAUUUCAUAGCAAGGGCCGGGCAAGACCGGUGCCAGCCGCCGCGGUAACACCGGCGGCUCGAGUGGUAACCGUUAUUAUUGGGUCUAAAGGGUCUGUAGCCGGCCGGAUAAGUCUCAUGAGAAAGCUGGCAGCUUAACUGUUGGGCUUUCAGGAGAUACUGUCUGGCUCGAGGCCGGGAGAGGUGAGAGGUACUUCAGGGGUAGGGGUGAAAUCUUGUAAACCUUGAAGGACCACCAGUGGCGAAGGCGUCUCACCAGAACGGACCUGACGGCAAGGGACGAAAGCUAGGGGCACGAACC